rfam:Promicromonospora flava strain DSM 21481 genome assembly, contig: Ga0061139_scaffold00001.1
CAACGGCACCUACCCACAACGGAUCGUCCGGCACGUACCUGCCGGUGGAGAGGGAAGCAA